rnacentral:rRNA from 1 species
UACGGGGGGGGCAAGCGUUGUUCGGAAUUACUGGGCGUAAAGGGCUCGUAGGCGGCCAACUAAGUCGGAUGUGAAAUCCCCAAGCUUAACUUGGGAACUGCAUCCGAUACUGGAUGGCUUGAAUCCGGGAGAGGGAUGCAGAAUUCCAGGUGUAGCGGUGAAAUGCGUAGAUAUCUGGAGGAACACCGAUGGCGAAGGCAGCCCCCUGGGUCAAGAUUGACGCUCAUGCACGAAAGCGUGGGGAGCAAACAGG